rnacentral:rRNA from 1 species
GCUCAGCAGGCGAGAAAACUUCACACUGUGCGAAAGCACGAUGAGGGAAUCCCAAGUGCUUGCACGUAAGUGUAAGCUGUUUCUCUGUCUAAAACGCAGAGAGAGUAAGGGCUGGGUAAGACGGGUGCCAGCCGCCGCGGUAAUACCUGCAGCUCAAGUGGUGACCGUUAUUAUUGGGCCUAAAACGUCCGUAGCCGGUUUAAUAAAUGCCUGGGUAAAUUGUGUAGCUUAACUAUACGAAUUCCGGGUAGACUGUUAAACUUGAGACCGGGAGAAGUUAGAGGUACUCCUGGGGUAGAGGUGAAAUUCUGUAAUCCUAGGGGGACCACCAGUGGCGAAGGCGUCUAACUAGAACGGGUCUGACGGUGAGGGACGAAGCCCUGGGGCGCAAACGGGAUUAGAUACCCCGUAGU